rnacentral:misc_RNA from 1 species
GAUGAAGAACGUAGCGAAAUGCGAUAAGUAAUGCGAAUUGCAGAAUUUCCGUGAGUCAUCGAAUCUUUGAACGCACAUUGCGCCCGCUAGUAUUCUGGCGGGCAUGCCUGUUCGAGCGUCAUUUCAACCAUCAAGCCCCAGGCUUGUGUUGGGGGUCCUGCGGUCUCCGCAGCCCUCUAAAAGCAGUGGCGGGCUCAUUGUUAUUCUGAGCGCAGUAGCAUAUCUUCGCUCUGGAGGUGGCAGUGAGUAUCAGCCGUAAAAUUCCACUCCUAAGGUUGACCUCGGAUCAGGUAGGAAUACCCGCUGAACUUAAGCAUAUCAAUAAGCGGAGGA